rnacentral:rRNA from 1 species
UACGGAGGGGGCUAGCGUUGUUCGGAAUUACUGGGCGUAAAGCGCGCGUAGGCGGACCUGCAAGUCGGGGGUGAAAGCCCGAGGCUCAACCUCGGAACUGCCUUCGAUACUGCGGGUCUCGAGUCCGGGAGAGGUGAGUGGAAUCCUAGUGUAGAGGUGAAAUUCGUAGAUAUUCGGAGGAACACCAGUGGCGAAGGCGGCU